rnacentral:lncRNA from 1 species
UUCUCUCUGGGUAAUGAGCUGGCUUGCAUUGUACUGAGCUACCACUGCUUUUAGGGUUUCAUGGAUGAUGGAAGGAAGAACCCUUUCGCUGUAGUUCUCGCCAAGGGUUCGGUAAAUCUGAGGCAAACGGUCACCCAUGGGACGUGUGAGAACCCUUAAUCCAAUUUUCACCUGUGCAACACCCAAGAAAAAUAUCAGAAACACAGCAACUCCUUUAAGAAAGAAAAUGGAGACUAAGUUCUUUCUUGCUCUACCUAAGUCUACUGAAAGCAAGUGUAACUUGUCUCUUGUUUUUCCACUUAUCCAUACACUCACACAGUUCAUAUAAGGAUCAACAUUGAUCGUGUAAUAUCCUAAAAGAGUAAGUGAUAUUUAAUCUACAGCUCCAUAACCUCAAACCACACCCAAAAUUUUCUAAAACAUGCUCUUAAUGCUGCAUUGAAGGGUCUUAACAUAACGUCAAAAGAAGGAAUAUCUAGUAUGAUCUAUAUAGCACCACAUUCAGUAACAUCAUUUAAAAUUAAAUCCCUGGGCUAAAUAUUGUACAAACACACACAGAAAAG